CGCUUGGAAAGUUACUAGCUAAUGGUCUUAUAAGUCAUGAGGGAGAACAGUGGAGCAAGCACAGAAAGAUUAUCAACCCUGCAUUCCAUUUAGAAAAAUUGAAGGAAAGUUUCCCUUUACUUGAUAUAGAAUCCAAUUGUGUUUAUCUAGGCCGCAACAUAUAACUUUUCAAGCAUCACAAUUAGGUUUAUAAGAAAACAUGAUUUGAAUUCUUAAUGCACAUGUGCUUAGUUUAACACCUCUUUGUCUCUUACAAACAGAUCAUGUUACCAAUAUACCUCAAAAGUUGCGAUGAUCUGAUUAGCAAAUGGGAGAAAAUGUUGGCUUCAGAUGGAUCAUGUGAAAUGGACGUAUGGCCUUUCCUUCAAAAUUUGGCGAGUGAUGUUAUUUCUCGAGCUGCAUUUGGAAGUAGUUAUGAAGAGGGAAAAAGAAUAUUUCAACUUCAAACCGAACAAGCCAAACUUACAAUGUCAGUUAUGACGAAAGUUUACAUCCCUGGAUGGAGGUAAGAUUAAUAUUUAUAUCACAAGUUGAAUUCGAAAAUGCUAUAUUUUGGAUAAAACUAAGCACUAGAUUCUAGUGAUACAGUAAAUGGAGAUUUGGCUCCUCUAAAAUUAAGUUAAAAUAAAGUAAGAAGACCAGAAUAAAAUAUUUCAACGCAUGUCACAUGGUUUGUUAUACUUGUGCUUGUAAUAACAACCAUUGAUUUAUUAAUCAAUGGUUUAUAGUAUUGUAUACUCUAAAGUGAGUUGUUCACUUUGGAGGAGUAAGAUCAAGGAAAUAGCAUUCCCUUCAGAUCAUUUGAAUUACAUACCAAUUAUGUUUAUUUUGAAGGUUUCUACCAACUACUACACAUAGGAGAAUGAAAGAAAUUGACCGAGACGUUAAAGCGUCGCUUACAGAUAUGAUUAACAAGAGAGAAAGAGCACUAAAGGCAGGUGAAGCCACUAAGGAUGACUUAUUAGGUAUACUUUUAGAGUCAAAUCACAAAGAAAUGGAAGAACACGGCAACAAUAAGAAUGUUGGAAUGAGUCUUGAUGAUGUAAUAGAGGAAUGCAAGCUCUUCUACUUUGCAGGCCAAGAGACCACUUCUGUUUUGCUUGUUUGGACAAUGGUGUUGUUGAGUAGGUACCCUGAUUGGCAAGAACGUGCAAGGGAAGAAGUAUUACAAGUUUUUGGCAACAAUAAACCUGACUUUGACGGGCUAAGUCAUCUUAAGAUCGUAAGUAUUAUGUACUUCCCUUCAUGUUAAACAAUAUAUGCCGUCAUACUUAACAUUGAUGUAACUCUUUUUGAUACAGGUCACUAUGAUUUUGUACGAGGUUCUUAGGUUAUACCCACCAGCAAUCGCGCUUGCUCGAAGUGUUCACAAAGAUGUGAUACUUGGAAACCUAGCAUUGCCAGCCGGAGUGCAGGUUUUCUUAUCGAUAAUUUUGGUUCACCAUGACAUAGAACUAUGGGGUGAUGAUGCUAAGGUGUUCAAUCCCGAGAGAUUUUCAGAAGGUGUUUUAAAAGCAACAAAUGGAAGAAAUUCAUUUUUUCCAUUUGGAGGGGGUCCUAGAAUUUGCAUUGGACAAAACUUUUCUAUGUUGGAAGCAAAGAUGGCAAUAGCAAUGAUUUUACAACGUUUCGACUUCGAACUUUCUCCAAGUUAUGCUCAUGCCCCGGCCACAGUAAUUACGCUUCAGCCACAAUAUGGUGCUCAUAUAAUUCUACGUAAAGUGGAAUUGUAAAAUUUAUAAUUUGCUUAUUCCACUAUUAGAAUGAUUGCAAUUAUUGAAAUAUAUAUCGUUUCCUUUUAUUAUUAUUCUUCUUUGAUGGUUGUUUAUUUUUCAUUAUGUCACCUUAAAUUAAGUUGUUGAUUAGUUGUAUUCUCUCCUAUAAAAGGAGCACCAUUCUUAUUGAAUAAAAUACUUUGAAGAAUAUAGAGUAAUUUCUACAUGGUAUUAGAGCCCCCGAUUUCGGGGGUCUUGCUUCCCGCAUAAACCCUAGCCGCCAUUAAUACGACAUCUUUUUUUUUUUUUUUUUUUUUUGGUUUUUGAUAUCCAGCAACACUGUUCAUCGAUACCGGCACUGUUCAUACGAGGUACUGUUCACGUCAUACUUUUUUUUUAUCAAAGCUAGAAAAAUUAAAUUGUAAAACAGAAGAUGCCUGAAUCGUUUACAACAAAAACUGGCCAACUAUGACCAUACUCAACUAAAACAAAUCUCAAUUAAAACAACAUAUAUGUAUAGAAGCAAAUCAACUGGCUAGACUAAGCUGCCAAAGUCCAAACAACUAGCUACUUGCACAUAUUAAGAAGCAUAUUUUGGAUUGUUUUUUAUUACACCCUUUUUGGAACGAGUUUGGAUGUGCUCACUACUUGUGAUGCCAUCCGAGCCUUUGCCUCUUGCAGAGCUGCUACUCUUUCUUGAUAUCCUGCUGGACUUAGGUUAGUGAAUAGCAUCUGGUUGUGCCAUCAAGAACUUCAGAGCCACAGGGUGCAUAUUCAUCAUUUCAGUGUCAGUGUCAAGGUCCAUAGUGCCAUCUGUCGUGUGGUCAGAAUCCACCACGUCCCUCCAAAAUUUGCUAAGAAUUUGGGCACUUUUCUUGGCUACAGUAGAAACAUUUUUAGAGCCACCAAUAGCAUGAAACCAAUAAAUCAACAUUCUCGAGUUCAACAUUUAAUGCCUCCUCUGGAACCUCAACAUUAUCUGUUGUUAACAAGGCAAAAGAGUUUUGCAAUUCGACCUCCGAAUCAGACUUAUAGGCAGGUUCUGACGGAUCAGAGGAGUGUAUAACAGGAACAAUGAUGCUAUGAACAGAAGAAGAUUGCAAUUCAAUAGGAAAAGUUUCAGCCAAAACAGGACGAGAUUGCUCUCGAUUAAACUCUACAACUUCAGAACGGAUGCCAACACCCACAUUCUGAGGUUGUGCAUUCUGCUUAUGUUGCAUCCAAGACGAAGAAUCAGCGCCUGGGAAUGAAUGCUUCUUACUGAUCAACUCUGCGCCAAUUCCUUGAAAAUUGGAACCAUGCUUUUUUUUUAUAACCCUGAAGAAAAUCCCGAUUCUUUUUUAUAAAAAAAAAAAAUAAUAAUUUUUUUUACCACAUGUGACGUGGCAUGACACGUGAUAGUGUCACGUAGACAGUCAAAUGUCACGUCAUGUUGACUAACAGAAGAAUUUGACGGAGGAGAUAAAUUGAUUAAUGUUAUACAAUUUAAAAUGAUAAUUGAAGUUUUGUUAAUGUUACGGAGGUAAUUGACGAAGCUUACAAUUUCAGAAAUUAAUUGUCUAUUUACUCUAGUAAGUAGUCUUAAAAGGACAAAUUCUUAUACACCCACCAAUAAAGAUAAGUAGAGUAGACUGUACUAAAUUGAUAUCAAUCAAAAUCAUUCAUUUAUCUUAUAAUACUGUAAUACUAUUUUUGUUGAUGAUAUAACAUCAAAUGUUUGAAAACUUAGUGUCCCACGACCAUAGAACCAACCACUUAAUAUACAAUCUCAAACAUUCAAUAUUAUGAAAGAUGCUUUAAGAAAAUCCAAAAAGAAUAAGCCAUUCCAAUAUGACUAAAUAAUUGGAAUAAAUUAUUCCGCAAUAGUGGCCUUAUAACAUAACUCAUUUGAUUGAGAUAUUGUAUUGUACUAUGUAAAAGUCGGAAUUUUACCCAUGAAAUCUUCGAUUAUUGACGGUGGAUUCUAAGUUUCUAACCAAUAAAAAAUAAUUCUGCGGCCGACUAAUUUUAAAAGAAAUCCAAAAAAAGUAUGUUAUUAGAUAAUUGUCUUUAUCUUAAAUAAAUGCAAAACCGACAAAAAGUCAUCAAUGACAUAUGGUGUGGACUUUGGACUGUAUUCAGUGCAGAACAACCAAAUUAAUUGAUCUUAUUGUAUUAAUCAUCUUCCCCUACUAAUUUCUUUCAUCCACCAAUUAUCACUCUACACAAAAAUGGCUACAAUUACAUCCAUAAUUCUCUUCACCUUGUUGACACUCUUUUUCAUAUUGGNUAAUUUCUUUCAUCCACCAAUUAUCACUCUACACAAAAAUGGCUACAAUUACAUCCAUAAUUCUCUUCACCUUGUUGACACUCUUUUUCAUAUUGGCAUGGAGGAUUUUGAAUUGGUUAUGGUUGAAGCCAAAGAAGCUAGAGAAAUUCCUAAGAGAACAAGGACUAAAAGGGAAUUCAUAUAGGCUUUUAGUUGGAGACAUGAAUGAUCUUCUUAAGAUGAGAAAGGAAGCAACAUCUAAACCUAUGAAUCUUUCUGAUGAUAUUGUUCCUCGUGUGUUUUCCUUUGUCCAACAAAGUGUUGCAAAACAUGGUAUGUCUCUCUUCUUACUCCUCUUUUUAAUUUCUAGUUUUACUAUAUUUAUAUAAUGAAGAAUAACAAUAAAGUACUAGUUUAGUUUCCCUCAACUAUACUAGUUAGUAAUAAAAAAAUCAAUUUGUAAAAUUCUAUAAAAAUAAUAGAAUUUUUUUUUUUUUUAGAUUAACAGUGAGGAGUGUAAAGUGAGGGAAGGUCUGACAAUAUUUUUACUUAAGUACAGACAAUCUCCAUCUCAUAAACCAACUUUGUAAGGAUGAUUUAAACUCAAUUUUAAAAUGGUAUUAGAGUCUAUGGAUUCGGGACACCCAACAUUUAUACACAAACCAAGCCCAAAAGUGAUGGAAGUGAGGGGUGUGUUGGGAAAAACUUAAAUCCCACAUUGAAAAGAUAAGAAUUAUGAUAAGAGUUUAUAAAAAGAGGCACCCCUCACCUUACAAGCCAGUUUAUAAGGUUGAGUUAGGGUCAAUAUCAAAAUAUAAAAUGGCAUUAGAGUUUCAAAAUCUAACAUGGUAUCAUAGUUUAUCAAUUCGCGCCACCCACCAUUUAUACACGCACCAAACCGAAUAGUGUUGUGUCGGGGCCAACCACAAUUUCUAACAUGGCAUCAGAGCCUCCAAAAGGUUUCCGCCAUCAAAUUACAAAUUGCAUUGCAUUCAACUAUCUACUAGUUGACAACCAUCCUAUUUCCUAAUUGACUUCCCUGUUAUUUCCAACUGAGUAAUUUUGUUGGUUACUCUCAUUGUAAUUCUCUGUAUCAGCUUCCACCACUUAAAGUUAAGGAGUGGAUCAAGAACCAAAUUUUUUGAUUAAAGCCAAUAUAAAUACCAACACAUAAAUUGCACUUACUGACUGAUACUAAACUGACAUUAUCAGGAUAUAAUUUCCUCUUAAAUUGAUAGCAUGUUUUUAUAAAAUAGUAUUCUGAUCCAAAUUUACUCCCUCCGGUCACAUUUAUAAGCAAAAAACAACUUUUUAGGUUCAUUCAAUAAUUAAUGUAUCUGACCUUUAUAUAGACUAGAUACAUUAGUUAUUCAAUAAACCUAAACAAUUUUUUUUGCUUAUAAAUGUGACCAGAAAGAAUGUAGUUAAUACUUAUUUCUUUGAAAUGAAUGACAUCGGUUUAUCAAACUUUGAUGUUAAUCAUUAAGAUUCAUAGUCUUCAUGAUUGUGAUUUUGAUCACUGAUCAUGCUGGGCAGUAGGCUCAAAACAUUACAACAUUGCUAUUCCUUCCAAUAUGUUACUAGCCUGAAUUAAAAUGAUAUUACUUCCUUGUUUGUUCAUGAGGUGUCAGUUCAGUGAAAAGAGUUUGAUUAUGUGGUCUAUUGCUUCGCUAUGGCGGGUUAUGACUUCACAAAUUGGCUAUGGCAUUCAUAAAAAAACCAGCCACACCAUUUGGCCAUCGCCGCCAUUUAACAACACUGUAUGUUUUACAAUACUAUCCUGCACCUUGUUCACUUUGGUGAUUUUUCAAAUUGGCAAUAAUACCUAAAUAUAUAAUAUAAACACUUAAAGUUCUGUAUUCAAAGAUUCCGGAAGCAAAUAGUACACUAUAAUAAGUUGCUAAUUCUCAUCAAUUCUUGAUAUUUAUAUACUUUUUUCAUAUCUUCGGCGUGCAGGAAAGAACUCUUUUAUCUGGUUUGGACCAACACCAAGGGUGAACAUAACAGAUCCUGAUAUGAUUAGAGAUGUAUUUAACAAAAUGUACGACUUCCAAAAGCCUAAUGCGAAUCCGCUUGGAAAGUUACUAGCUAAUGGCCUUGCAAGUCAUGAGGGAGAACAGUGGAGCAAGCACAGAAAGAUUAUCAACCCUGCAUUCCAUGUAGAAAAAUUGAAGGAAAGUUUCCCUUUACUAGAUAUAGAAUCCAAUUGUGUUUAUCUAGUCCGCAACAUAUAAUUGUUCAAGCAUCACAAUUAGGUUUAUAAGAAAACAUGAUUUGAAUUCUUAAUGCACAUGUGCUUAGUUUAACACCUCUUUGUCUCUUACAAACAGAUCAUGUUACCAAUAUACCUCAAAAGAUGCGAUGAUCUGAUUAGCAAAUGGGAGAAAAUGUUGGCUUCAGAUGGAUCAUGUGAAAUGGAAGUAUGGCCUUUCCUUCAAAAUUUAGCAAGAGAUGUUAUUUCUCGAGCUGCAUUUGGAAGUAGUUAUGAAGAGGGAAAAAGAAUAUUUCAACUUCAAACCGAACAAGCCAAACUUACAAUGUCAAUUAUGACAAAAGUUUACAUCCCUGGAUGGAGGUAAGAUUAAUAUUUAUAUCACAAGUUGAAUUAGAAAAAGCUAUAUUUUGGAUAAAACUAAGCACUAGAUUAUAGUGAUACAGUAAAUGGAAAUUUGGAUCCUCUAAAAUUAAGUUAAAAUAAAGUAAGAAAACCAAAAAAAAAUAUUUCAACGCAUGUCACAUGGUUUGUUAUACUUGUGCUUGUAAUAACAACCAUUGAUUAAUUAAUCAAUGGUUUAUAGUAUUGAAUACUCUAAAGUGAAUUGUUCACUUUGGAAGAGUAAGAUCAAAGAAAUAGC
rnacentral:lncRNA from 1 species